CCAGUCUUAUCAGUGUGAUCUAGCCCUUCUCCUGGGGUUCUGAGCACAAGAGCCCACCAACAGCAGGAUGCAGCAAGGUGGCUGUGCACAGCACUGUGGCCAUCAUAGGCCUUGGGAGGCAGAUCAGCAUGGGUAUCCACUUCAGUGCCCUGUGACCCCAGCAGCUUGGCUCUGCCCUAGUUCCUGUCUGGAUUGAGGGUCUCUAAGGGACUAGUUUGGCCCAGGGCUGCUGUAUAAACUGGCGGUUUCAUCUGUUGAUCACGUUGACCCUCAGAUCCCUAAAGAUUAGGUUUACUCCCAGGUGACAGAGGUAGAGGAGACCCUAAAAGGGCAAUUGCCAGACAGGAGUCAAUUGAAACCUUAAGUUCCAUCCUCCAACCAACUACCCUGGGCCUCAGGGCUCUCCAUAUAAGCCUGCCCUCCCAGUCUGACUGCUGAGGCGGCGACAGCAGGGCAGUCAGCUACCUAUCCACGGAGAGUGCCUGUUAGUCAGUAACUGUUUCGAGAUCACUUUUUCUUUCUUCCUCAUUCCUCAAAACCAGUGGUGGGAUUUCAGAGCACAGCGGAAGUAGUGAAAGGAAUGAGCAAGCAAGGACACCUGAGUUCUGGGCCCAACUGUGUGACUUUAGGAAAAUCAAUGAACCCUCUUCAGUCCUCAGUAAAUCAAUUUCCUUUAUAAACUGAUCAAGACAGAUUGGAUAAUCAAUCAGAUUCCUUCCAGAUCCUAAAGCCCAUACCUUGGAAUAGUGACCUUCAAUGAACCCUAUAAAAGAAUUUUGAACUAGGCUGGGCAUGGUGGUUCACGCCUAUAAUCCCAGCAGUUUGGGAGGCUGAGGUGGAUGGAUCGCCUGAGGCCAGCCUGGCCAACAUGGUGAAACCUUAUCUAUACAAAAUAUACACAAAUUAGCCAAAGA
rnacentral:lncRNA from 1 species